CGCGGUGCGCGCGCUUCACUAGGCCGGGCUCCGCGGCGCGCAGCUCCUCCUCCGCCCGCGGCCAGGCCCCCGACGAAGCGCCCGGCUGCGGAAAGCCGUUCGCCGCGUCGGGCGGGGACGGCAUGCUGGCGGCCCCGUUGUUCACUGUGGAGGACAUGGUGGCUGCUCCCGGAGCUGCUGGCCUCGGCCCUGCGGGGUAGAAAGAGACACCCGGCGGGAUGGUCACUUCUCGGGCACCUGCUAAGCUCCUCUCGGCGCGGGUUAAUCCUGGAGAUUUAAAGGACCACUCACGGCUCUAAUCCGCUUCGCCUCAUGCUGCAGAGCCGGGCUGGUGGCAGGUUUGCACCUUUGGGUCACACCCCAGGGCAUGAGGGGGAAUCGGACGGACAUUGGGCUUUCCCCAUCUGUAAGGUGGGUGGAUUCGGGCCGGACUAGAUGGGCUCUAAGUAACCUUCUCAAAUCCAGGGACCUAGUACCACUCAGGACAACCCUCUCUGCCUUGUACCAAUGCCUGGCUCCUGCCUGCCUGGCCCCUGCCUGCACGCCUGCUGGCAGCUCCCCAGGCAACCAAGUCGGUCUCUGGGGAAAUUUGUUGGUUUUAUUCUUGUUUUUCCUUCAGGCUCAGUUUAACACCCCCCUCUCGCUCCCCAGUGCCCAUUCUCCUGGCUCUGGCCCCUGGAGUCACAGACCGCAUGUGUUCCCCCCUCCCAGGCUGCUCUGGGAGAGCCCUGCCGAGACGGGAAGAUGGAACCUUCUCCAGGCUCAACUCCAUUCCCACCUCAGUUGCAGUUUUCAGUUCCCGCUUGGAUUUGGCUAACUUUUCCAAAGUCCAUUCCAGUUUCACCUGUGCUGGACCUUGACCCACACUGAAGGGAGCAAACCCCUAGCCAAUCUGGGUGUUUCCAGAAGACAAAGCCAGGACUCCUGCCGAGAAGUCAUCUUGAGUGGACUUCAGCUAAGUCCAAGGGUGGCCCAUGGGAAGUCUCUUCUUGACCCCUGAUUGGCUGUGAGACCCUGAGCGAGCCUCUUCCCAUCUCUGGACCCUGGUUUUCCCAGUGGACAAUGAGAGACUGGACUCAAAGACCUCAAAAAGGUCUUCUGCUCUGGAAAUCUAGGUAAUACUGACUAUGUAUAUAUACCGCCAAGCCUUCAGCCCACCUCCUUCCUGCUGCUGUAGCCAGUGGCCAGGACCACACCAGUUCCCCCCAGAGCUCAGCCUGAGGCUGUCCCCAGCACUGGGUCAGGUCCCAAGGGCAGGCCCAGAUGCUGGGCCAGUCAAACCCAUGCGCAGAUUAAGUCAUGAAUUUAAU